CAGUAGCCGCGGUAAUACGUAGGUGGCAAGCGUUGUCCGGAAUUAUUGGUCGUAAAGGGCUCGCAGGCGGUUUCUUAAGUCUGAUGUGAAAGCCCCCGGCUCAACCGGGGAGGGUCAUUGGAAACUGGGAAACUUGAGUGCAGAAGAGGAGAGUGGAAUUCCACGUGUAGCGGUGAAAUGCGUAGAGAUGUGGAGGAACACCAGUGGCGAAGGCGACUCUCUGGUCUGUAACUGACGCUGAGGAGCGAAAGCGUGGGGAGCGAACAGGAUUAGAUACCCCCGUAGUCCCUGUCUCUUAUAC
rnacentral:rRNA from 1 species